rnacentral:rRNA from 1 species
AAUAGAUACCCAGGUAGUCCACCCCGUAAACGUUGGGAACUAGUUGUGGGUCCUUUCCACGGAUUCCGUGACGCAGCUAACGCAUUAAGUUCCCCGCCUGGGGAGUACGGCCGCAAGGCUAAAACUCAAAGGGGAAUUAGGACGGGGACCCGCACAAGCGGCGGAGCAUGCGGAUUAAUUCGAUGCAACGCGAAGAACCUUACCAAGGCUUGACAUACACCAGAACACCCUAGAAAUAGGGGACUCUUUGGACACUGGUGAACAGGUGGUGCAUGGUUGUCGUCAGCUCGUGUCGUGAGAUGUUGGGUUAAGUCCCGCAACGAGCGCAACCCUCGUUCUAUGUUGCCAGCACGUAAUGGUGGGAACUCAUGGGAUACUGCCGGGGUCAACUCGGAGGAAGGUGGGGAUGACGUCAAAUCAUCAUGCCCCUUAUGUCUUGGGCUUCACGCAUGCUACAAUGGCCGGUACAAAGGGCUGCAAUACCGUGAGGUGGAGCGAAUCCCAAAAAGCCGGUCCAGUUCGGAUUGAGGUCUGCAACUCGACCUCA